rnacentral:tRNA from 1 species
CGGGAUGUAGCUCAACUUGGCAGUCUGUUUGACUCACUGUCUGACAGGUCAUAAGCUAUGGACUGUAGAUCCAUCGGUUGCCGGUUCAAAUCCGGCCAUCCCGACCA